rnacentral:rRNA from 1 species
GGAGGCCUCGGGACGCAGCAGUGGGGAAUAUUGCACAAUGGGGGAAACCCUGAUGCAGCAACGCCGCGUGAGUGAAGAAGUAUUUCGGUAUGUAAAGCUCUAUCAGCAGGGAAGGGAAUGACGGUACCUGACUAAGAAGCCCCGGCUAACUACGUGCCAGCAGCCGCGGUAAUACGUAGGGGGCGAGCGUUAUCCGGAUUUACUGGGUGUAAAGGGAGCGUAGACGGUUCUGCAAGUCUGAAGUGAAAGCCCGUGGCUUAACCGCGGAACGGCUUUGGAAACUGUGGAACUGGAGGGCUGGAGAG